GAUGAACGCUGGCGGCGUGCCUAAUACAUGCAAGUCGAGCGAACGGACGAGAAGCUUGCUUCUCUGAUGUUAGCGGCGGACGGGUGAGUAACACGUGGAUAACCUACCUAUAAGACUGGGAUAACUUCGGGAAACCGGAGCUAAUACCGGAUGAUAUUUUGAACCGCAUGGUUCAAAAGUGAAAGACGGUCUUGCUGUCACUUAUAGAUGGAUCCGCGCUGCAUUAGCUAGUUGGUAAGGUAACGGCUUACCAAGGCAACGAUGCAUAGCCGACCUGAGAGGGUGAUCGGCCACACUGGAACUGAGACACGGUCCAGACUCCUACGGGAGGCAGCAGUAGGAAAUCUUCCGCAAUGGGCGAAAGCCUGACGGAGCAACGCCGCGUGAGUGAUGAAGGUCUGCGGAUCGUAAAACGCUGUUAUUAGGGAAGAACAUAUGUGUAAGUAACUGUGCACAUCUUGACGGUACCUAAUCAGAAAGCCACGGCUAACUACGG
rnacentral:rRNA from 1 species